UACGUAGGGUGCAAGCGUUAUCCGGAAUUAUUGGGCGUAAAGAGCGUGUAGGCGGCCAGAUAGGUCCGUUGUGAAAACUGGAGGCUUAACCUCCAGCUGUCGAUGGAAACCAUCUGGCUAGAGUCCGGAAGAGGAGAGUGGAAUUCCUGGUGUAGCGGUGAAAUGCGCAGAUAUCAGGAGGAACACCAAUGGCGAAGGCAGCUCGCUGGGACGGUACUGACGCUGAGACGCGAAAGCGUGGGGAGCAAACAGG
rnacentral:rRNA from 1 species